AAAGGGCCCACGACCCUUUGGGCCUGUGCUGUCAGACCCACCCGGGCCCUAGGACACCUCCAGCCCUCAGAGCUCCCAGCCCCUUCAUCCCAGAGCCCAGCUCCCAGCCCCAUUCCCUGGAUCCCCAGCUGGCCAUGGCAUUAACACCCCAAAGCCCUUCUGGCGCCUGCCUCACCCAACCCAGAUCCCUCUUCUGUGGGCCCUCCACACCUCCGUCUUACCACCCCUAAAUCCUGCCCCCUCAUCCUGGGCCUCCCCGCUGAACAAGGCCCCAACUUGCCCACGAGGAGAGGAGUCCAGAAGAGUGUCUCAGCCAUGGCUGCCCGGCCUGGCCCGCCCGGCCAAGCUGGGUGUCCCCUUAGCCCCUGCGUGCUUUCCUGGGCACAACACAAUCACACAGACUGCUCCAAGCUCCUCGAAGACUAGGAUCUUGUCACGUUUGUAUCCUUGGGCCUGGCACAGGGCCUGGUAACUAGUAGGUGUAGCUGGCUGGCGGCAGCUUCCUUAACAGCAAACGUAGGUGCCAUCCACCCAGCCUUUAUCCCCAGUCCAAGCACUUCAGCGUGGAGGUCUAGCAAGCCCUGGACAGGACCAGCCAGCUAGAGACAGGUGAGCGGAGGAGGCACCCUCUCUGGCCCAUGGAGUCAGGGUUCAUUCGGCGCAUAGACUUGGAGGCCUGGAGGUGGGCCACCUUGGCCACUUGCUGGGGAUGAGGCCUUGAGUGCACCAUUUGCCCUCUAGCCCAUUUCCACAACUAUAAACUGGCAAGAAUAGUGCUUGCCUCUUGGCAUCAUUGUGAGGACUCCACAAAGUAAUGAAUGCAGCGCAUAUUUAUGAAACACCUGCUAUGUAUCAGACAUUGAAAUUGCAAAGAUAAGCAAACCUCUGCCCACAUGGAGGUCACCUGCCAGUGGGUAAUACCAGCUAGCGCUGCCAGCUACUGUGCUGAGAAUCUUACAUAUAUCUACCUAUAUUACCUCAUUCCAUCUCCUCAGCAGUUCCAUGAGGCAGGUAUUAUUACUGUGCCCAUUUAACAGAUGAUAAAACUGAGGCACAGGGGUGUAUACCUUCCCCAAGGCCACAUUGCUGAUGAGUAGAAUGCAUGUGGACGGCUUAGCCCAGUGCCUGGCUCAGUCGAUGACUGUGCUGCUGAUGUACUUGCCCGGCCCUGCUUCCCCUUCCUUCUUGCCUCUGCCAAAGGAUCUCAGUCCAGGGGCGAUGGGGCGCGGUGUCCUCUCCCCAGGUCUCUCACUUAGGGCAGGCACAGGGGCACUCUCCCCAGGUGCCCUGAGAAGGGGGCGGGGACCUAUGGCUGCCAGGGUUCCCAAAUCCUUGGUGCCUGUGUGACCUCUCCUCCAGGGCCUCAAAAGGACAACAAAAUACCCCAGGCAAGGAUCACUUGGGUCCAGCCUAAGGGCACAGGUGUUGGCCUGCAGAUGGGGUGACUGGUAGGCAGGUUACGCAGUCCUUGUCCCUUCCUCUCUCUCUCUCCACCUGACUGACCCGCUCAUCCCUGGAGAGCCACCAAAUUCCAGAGUCAGCGUCCCCUCAGGCAAGGCAGUAUUUGUCCCAGCAUCACCUGGCCAUCUCUCUGUCUUCUCAGAGACAGAGGGAGGGAGGAAGAAAGGUUCUGGAGGCAGAGGAAGAGCCCAAGGGUUCUGGGGGAGCAGGCAGAAGUGCCAACCCCCUGGGCACCUGCCCAGCCUCACCCCUGAGCUUCUCCAUGUGACUCCCCGCCCCCUGCCGUCCCCCUGGCUAUUUUUGGAGCCACCCACUCAGCUGUCUUAAGGUAGCAGUGCCUGGCCCCAGUGUCACCAGGCCCACAGAGGCCAGCCUUCCUUAAUGAAAAGCUGCAGCUACUUCCCCAUCAGAUCCUCCCUGCCCAAUUCAAGGGAGCCAGGGACUGUCCCACAAGCCAGAAAGUCCCCAGAAACCCUUCUCAGGCCCCUCAGCCAUCAGAGGACCUUCCCACUCAGAGCUGUCUGGAUUGCAACCUGCUGCUUGUAACACACAGCACCUUCUGUCUAUUGGGCCUAGGGGUGGGAAGGGAGGUCACAGGGUCUUUAAACUUCUUAGUUUGAAAAAUUUGCAGCAUACUAUAAUAAGCCCCCGUGUAUCUGUCACCUGGCUUCAACAAUUAUCAACUCAUGGCCAGUCUAGUUUCAUCUGUACCCCUCCUGAUUAAUUUCAUCCAUCAAUAUUUCAGUGUGUAUCUUUAAAUGAUAAUGACUCUUUUUAACAUAAUCACAUAACACGUUCAGCUAUUAACAUCAUCAAUAAAAUUCCUUAAUAUCAAACUUCUAGUGUUCAAAUUACCAAUUUCUCAUAAACAUACAUAUUUUUACAGUGUAUUUGUUUGACUCAAGAUACAAAGAAGAUACACACAUUGCAACUGAUUGAUGAUUUAUAGGGCUUUUUUUUUUUUUUUUUUUGAGACAGAGUCUCGCUCUGUCACCCGGGUUGGAGUGCAGUGCCAUGAUCUCGGCUCACUGCCACCUCCACCUCCCAGAUUCAAGCAAUUCUCCUGCCUCAGCCUACAGGCACGUGCCACCAUGCCCAGGGGUUUCACCAUGUUGGCCAGGCUGGUCUCAAACUCCUGACCUCAAGUGAUCCACCCACCUUGGCCUCACAAAGUGCUGAGAUUACGGGCGUGAGCCACUGUGCCUGGCCAAGGCUCUUUUAAAUUUCUUCAAAUCUAUAGGUUCCCAUACAUCCUUUCUCUCUCUUUUUUCCUUCCUCCCUUCCUUCCUUCCUUCCUUCAUACUUUCCUUCCUUUCCUCCCUCCUUCCUUCCUUCCCUCCCUCCCUCCUUCUUCUUCCUUCUCUCCCUCCCUCCCUCCUUCUUCUUCCUUCUCUCCCUCCCUCCCUCCUUUCUUCCUUCCUUCCCUCCCUCCCUCCCUCCUUUCUUCCUUCCUUCCCUCCCUCCCUCUCCUUCCUUCCUUCCUUCCUUCCUUCCCUCCCUCCCUUCUCUUUCUCGUUCCUUGAAGGAGCCAGAAAAUUUCUUCUGUAGUUUUUUGCCCUCUGGAUUUUGCUGAUUGCAUCUCUAUGGUGAUCUUUAACAUGUUCCUCCCACCUCCAUACUUCCUGUACGUUGUAUUUCCUGUACAUUGUUACUGUAAUUUGUAGUUGGAUCUAGAGGCCUUAUAAGGUUUAUGUUCAAUUUCCUUCGUUGAGACCACUUCAUAGGUGGUGACAGUGUUCUUCCAUUUGAAGGCACAUCAUGCGUUUCUGUGGUCUUAGUAGUGUCUUGCCUCCGCCAUUAGCGUUUUAUUUUUUGUGUGUGUGCAGAAUAGUGAUAUUCAGAUUUGAUCACUCUGAUCACCCCUUCCUUUAUUAGCUGGAAUAAUUAUAGACAGAAACUGCCCCUUGCGAUUUGGUUACUGAGUGGGAAAGUUCGUAAAAGGAAGACGGGAGAAACGCUGGACUCUUCCUGUAUUAAACAGUUUCUGAAUAAAGAGCUGUUUCCCUAGCAUCCUCCAAA